rnacentral:rRNA from 1 species
UGACUUGAUGCAUACCCGUUGUGGGGAAUUCAGUGAUCCUAUGCUGCCGAGAAAAGCCUCUAGUGAGUUCAUACACGGCCCGUACCCCAAACCGACACAGGUGAUCAGGUAGAGAAUACCAAGGCGAUCGAGAGAACUGUGGUUAAGGAACUCGGCAAAAUGCCCCCGUAACUUCGGGAGAAGGGGGACCAUGCCCGGUGAACAUCUUCACGGUGGGAGCUGGGUGUGGUCGCAGAGACCAGAGAGAAGCGACUGUUUACUAAAAACACAGGUCCGUGCGAAGACGUAAGUCGAUGUAUACGGACUGACGCCUGCCCGGUGCUGGAAGGUUAAGAGGACCGGUUAGCCGUAAGGCGAAGCUGAGAAUUUAAGCCCCAGUAAACGGCGGUGGUAACUAUAACCAUCCUAAGGUAGCGAAAUUCCUUGUCGGGUAAGUUCCGACCUGCACGAAUGGCGUAACGACUUCUCUGCUGUCUCGACCACAGACUCGGCGAAAUUGCACUACGAGUAGAGAUGCUCGUUACGCGCGGCAGGACGAAAAGACCCCGGGACCUUUACUAUAGCUUGGUAUUGGCGUUCGAUUCGGUUUGUGUAGGAUAGGUGGGAGACUGUGAAGCAUGCACGCCAGUGUGUGUGGAGUCGUUGUUGAAAUACCACUCUGAUCGUAUUGGACGUCUAACCUCGGCCCAUGAUCUGGGUUAGGGACAGUGCCUGGUGGGUAGUUUAACUGGGGCGGUUGCCUCCUAAAGAGUAACGGAGGCGCCCAAAGGUUCCCUCAGCCUGGAUGGCAAUCAGGUGUUGAGUGCAAGUGCACAAGGGAGCUUGACUGUGAGACUGACACGUCGAGCAGGGACGAAAGUCGGGACUAGUGAUCCGGCACCGGCAAGUGGAAGCGGUGUCGCUCAACGGAUAAAAGGUACCCCGGGGAUAACAGGCUGAUCUUCCCCAAGAGUCCAUAUCGACGGGAUGGUUUGGCACCUCGAUGUCGGCUCGUCGCAUCCUGGGGCUGGAGUAGGUCCCAAGGGUUGGACUGUUCGCCCAUUAAAGCGGCACGCGAGCUGGGUUUAGAACGUCGUGAGACAGUUCGGUCUCUAUCCGCCGCGCGCGUAAGAAACUUGAGGAAGGCUGUCCCUAGUACGAGAGGACCGGGACGGACGAACCUCUGGUGUGCCAGUUGUUCCACCAGGAGCAUGGCUGGUUAGCUACGUUCGGAAGGGAUAACCGCUGAAAGCAUCUAAGCGGGAAGCCUGUUCCAAGAUGAGGUUUCUCACCACCUUGCGUGGUUAAGGCCCCCUACAGACCAUGGGGUUGAUAGGCCGGAACUGGAAGCGCAGCAAUGCGUGGAGGUGACCGGUACUAAUAGGCCGAGGGCUU